GGAAGUAAAAGGUAACAAGGUCUCCGUAGGUGAACCUGCGGAGGGAUCAUUACAGAGUUCAUGCCCUACCGGGUAGAUCUCCCACCCUAUGUUAUUAUUACUUUGUUGCUUUGGCGGGCCGUUAGGCUCCGGCCCGACUACCGGCCCCGGCUGGUAAGCGCCCGCCAGAGGACCCAAAACCCUGAAUAUUAGUGUCGUCUGAGUACUAUAUAAUAGUUAAAACUUUCAACAACGGAUCUCUUGGUUCUG
rnacentral:misc_RNA from 1 species